UACGUAGGGUGCAAGCGUUGUCCGGAAUUAUUGGGCGUAAAGAGCUCGUAGGCGGUUUGUCGCGUCGGCUGUGAAAACCCGAGGCUCAACCUCGGGCCUGCAGUCGAUACGGGCAGACUAGAGUGCUGUAGGGGAGACUGGAAUUCCUGGUGUAGCGGUGAAAUGCGCAGAUAUCAGGAGGAACACCGGUGGCGAAGGCGGGUCUCUGGGCAGUAACUGACGCUGAGGAGCGAAAGCGUGGGGAGCGAACAGG
rnacentral:rRNA from 1 species